GCUGUAUGUGAGUUCAAUAUAGGCUCCAAAGUCUGUUUUUGAACACACAGAAAGGCUGAAGUUAUCCUAGGAGGCAUUGUGAAACCUUUAAAAUAAAAGAAAAUUUAAAUAGAAUCAAUUUAAAUCAAUUUUACUUUUAAAAAUUUAAAAAUUCAUGUGCAGUACUUUUAAGAAAUGGGAAGAAUGCAAAAAUGAGCCAUCUGCAGCUUCCCAGAGAGACGACGAAACCCUGUUGUUCCUUGAACAGGGUAGGGAUGAGGCAGAAUCUAGACUGGCAGCAAAGCUUCAAGAAGCCCUCCCAACCCAGAGGGGCCCCAGGG
rnacentral:lncRNA from 1 species